UCUCUCCUGCCCAUCGACCUGGAGCGUAGCAGAAACAUUCUAAUACUUGGAGAGCUGUUGCCAAGACAACCAGGAAACUGUUGGCUGGGAGAAGAACUGGAAGGGAGAAGAGAUUCAAAAUGACUGUUCUCUGUUCCGUAUGCUGGUGGCAUACUUCUCCCAUCAUAUGUCCCCCUGCAAGCCACAUUAAGAGGGUACUGGCCCCUCCACAACUCAAAAUACAUACUCUGGCCCUCACCUCAAACAGCAGCAAUGGCAAUACCAGAUCCUCCAAGGGCCCCUAUUUUCCAGUCCCAGAGUUACAGAAGCUGUCACGAGUGGAUGUCCUCCUCCUCCACGUCAAAAUGCAAAGAGAUGUUUCUUCUUGGUUCUGGGUCUCUCUUGCCUCCUUGCCAGGAGGGGAGGGAAUUCGGUUUCAACAGAAAAAUAAAGAUCUGCCUUGCUUUCUCU